UUGAAAAACAAUAAACUUAACUGAUGCAGAGGCAUUUCUAGAUAAACUAAGACAUGCAAUUCAUCACUACUUCAAUUAUACACCUUUACAAAGAAAUAAAAUUGAAACAACAACACAUCUUUACAAAGAUAAAUUUUCACAAGUGCAAAAAACACUUUUCUUAAUCAAUAUGUAUCCUUAUUUCUUCAGAUAUAUUACAUACUCAAUGGCACUAAGGAUUGGUUGCUUUAAUCAAAGGAAUUUUUCUAUUUGUCAUCUGAGAAGUUGAAGUUUGAAAUAAUAUGGUUGGUAUCUUGAACCCCUAAGUUAGCAUGUGGAAAAGUUAAAUUGAAGGUAAUGUAUUGUCAGACACCAUUGAUUGUGAGUAUAUAAGUUUUGUUUUGAUUGUGAGUAUUUAAAACCUUGGGGGUAACUAGUUACUUCAAGUUACUAUCGUUGUGCUAUGUAGGCUUAAGUGCUAAACUUACUAGUAGUUUGUGCAUUGCAAUCAGUCUUUUAAUUCAAGUCUAUGUAGGCUUAAGUGCUAAACUUACUAGUAGUACUAGACAUUGUAGCAGUGAACCAUAUAUGAUAUAGUCCACUUUAUGUUUGUGGUAAUGAAUAAUUUUGUAAUUAUGAUUUUAUUUACAAA